rnacentral:rRNA from 1 species
CAGCCGCCACGGUAAUACGUAGGUGGCAAGCGUUGUCCGGAAUUAUUGGGCGUAAAGCGCGCGCAGGCGGAUCAGUCAGUCUGUCUUAAAAGUUCGGGGCUUAACCCCGUGAUGGGAUGGAAACUGCUGAUCUAGAGUAUCGGAGAGGAAAGUGGAAUUCCUAGUGUAGCGGUGAAAUGCGUAGAUAUUAGGAAGAACACCAGUGGCGAAGGCGACUUUCUGGACGAAAACUGACGCUGAGGCGCGAAAGCCAGGGGAGCGAACGGGAUUAGAGACCCGUGUAGUCCCUGUCUCUUAUACA